CCUACGGGAGGCAGCAGUGGGGAAUAUUGGUCAAUGGACGUAACUCUUACCCAGCAAUGCCGCGUGAAUGAAGAAGGUCUUCGGAUUUUUAAGCUUCUUAUUUGGGGACGUAAAAAAUGACGGUACCCAAUGAAUAAGCCUCCGCUAACUACGUGCCAGCAGUCCCUGUAAUACGUCGGGGGCAAUCGUUGUUCGGAAUGACUGGGCGUAAAGGGUGUGUAGGCGGUGUAGCAAGUUAGAAGGGAAAUGCCUAGAGCUUAACUCAGGUGCUGCUGCUAAAACUGCUAUACUUGAGUGCGGUAGAGGAAAGUGGAAUUCGUGGUGUAGCGGUGGAAUGCGUAGAUAUUAGGAGGAACACCAGUGGCGAAGGCAGCUUACUGGACUGUAACUGACGCUGAGGCACGAAAGUGUGGGGAGCAAACAGGAUUAGAUACCCCUGUAGUC
rnacentral:rRNA from 1 species